AUGCGGGAAGAGGAGGAGCGACUGAGAUCCGCACUACACGCUCACUCACAGCUCAAAUCACAGUAGUAAUGUUCCCCAGCAGCGUGUAACAGGCAGAUCUCGCAGACUUCAGACUGGUCUCAUCUCCUGAAAUGUUACUACUGAAACCUUUCGGCGAGACGUCUUAAAGUAAACACGCAUCCUUAAAAGUCGAAUGCAUACUUUACAAGUCCGUGCGUGGAAAGGAAAUAAGUUUAAAGAUGUCUGUCAGUAAUCACGAGAACCGAAAGUCGAGGUCAAGCUCUGGGUCCAUGAACAUCCAGCUGUUCCACAAGACGUCACAUGCAGACAGCUUGCUUACCCAACUCAACCUCCUCCGCAAGCGGCAUGUCUUCACGGAUGUAGUCCUGCGCGCUGGACAUCGAGCAUUUCCGUGCCACCGAGCUGUUUUGGCUUCAUGUAGCCGCUAUUUUGAGGCUAUGUUCAGUGGUGGCCUAAAGGAGAGUCGAGACGCCGAGGUCAACUUCCACGACUCUUUGCACCCGGAGGUCCUGGAGCUCCUGCUAGACUACGCCUACUCGGCCCGGGUGAUCAUUAACGAGGAAAAUGCAGAGUCUUUGCUGGAGGCUGGCGACAUGCUCCAGUUCCACGACAUCCGUGACGCCGCCGCAGAAUUCCUGGAGAAGAAUCUGCAUCCGUCGAACUGCCUUGGAAUGAUGCUUCUGUCUGAUGCUCAUCAGUGCCAGAGGCUGUAUGAACUUUCUUGGCGAAUGUGUCUGGCGAAUUUUGCUAAUCUAUACCACACUGAAGACUUCCUAAGCAUGCCCAAAGAUAAAGUUCAGGAGCUUGUUUUUAGCGAGGAGCUGGAGGUUGAGGAUGAAAGUAUUGUGUACGAGGCUGUUAUUGAUUGGGUCAGAGCAGACAUUGGAAGGAGGCAUCUUGAUCUUCCUGACCUUCUGCGCUGUGUUCGACUCGCCUUGCUCCCGGAAACCUACCUGCUAAAGAACGUCGCAUCUGAGGAGCUCGUCAUGGGACACAAGGUGGGGCGUGAGAUUGUGGAAGACGCUGUCCGUUGCAAAAUGAAGAUCCUGCAGAAUGACGGCGUUGUCACGGGCUUCUGUGCCCAACCCCGAAAGGUCAGCCAAGCUCUCCUGCUUCUAGGAGGCCAAACGUUCAUGUGCGACAAAGUGUACAUGAUUGAUCACAAGGCGAAGGAGAUCACUCCCAAAACGGACAUUCCUAGCCCUCGCAAAGAGUGCAGCGCUUGUGCCAUUGGCUGUAAAGUAUACGUCACAGGUGGUCGAGGGUCUGAAAAUGGGGCUUCGAAAGACGUUUGGGUCUACGACACCUUGCAUGACGAAUGGUCCAAAGCUGCACCGAUGCUCGUCGCUAGAUUCGGACAUGGUUCAGCAGAACUUGACCACAGCCUGUAUGUAGUAGGUGGACAUACAUCCCUCGCGGGGUCGUUCCCUGCGUCCCCGUCUGUGUCUCUUAAACAAGUGGAGCAGUACAACCCCCAAUCCAACAAGUGGACACUAGUUGCCCCUCUUCGAGAGGGUGUAAGCAACGCUGCUGUCGUAGGGGCCAAAAACAAACUCUUUGCUUUCGGAGGGACUAGUGUCAACAGGGACAAGUAUCCCAAGGUUCAGUGCUUCGACCCCUGUGAGAACAGGUGGACAGUCCCGGCCACUUGUCCUCAGCUCUGGCGUUACACGGCGGCAGCAGUUGUUGGGAACCAUGUUGUGGUCAUUGGUGGAGAUACAGAGUUCUCUGCGAGCUCCGCGUACCGCUUCAACAGCGAGACGUUCCAGUGGACCAAGUUUGGUGACGUGACUUCCAAGAGAAUCAGCUGUCAUGCAGUGGCGUCGGGGAAUCGCCUCUACGUGGUUGGGGGCUACUUCGGGGCGCAGAGGUGUAAAACCUUGGACUGCUAUGACCCGUCAACGGACUCAUGGGAUAGCAUAACAAGCGUACCAUAUUCGCUUAUCCCAACAGCAUUUGUCAGCACCUGGAAGUACCUCCCAUCUUGAAGAAAAUAUGUCUCUGAUUUGCACACUCGCAGCCUGCUACCGAGAGCUCAGCGCUCACUUAAUGGACGGAUGCCUAGGGGAACUGCUGUUUGCCCUUCCUCAAUAAUAAACAGAUGGUUUGGGUGGAGACGGGCAGAAGAGAGCCUGCGAGGCCCCAGAUCUGCACGGCUGCUGCUGACAAGUCUCUUUUAUCUUUCUUUGAGAGUGCAGUUCCAGCUCUUUUUUGAAUUUCACAAAUUCGCCGUUGAUUUUUGCACAGAAUAGCCUUGUCAGAAACGGCGGAGCGAGGCAUGUGGAAUAGGGUGCAGCUAUAUUUUGCAGCGUUUGGCAGCCAGCAGCUUAAAACUAAAAAUACACAUCGCUUCAGAAGCCGUCAUCUCGUAAUGGGGCGAGGAAAACAAAUAGAGAAAAUCUCCUUCUCUUUGAUGUCCGCUUUUGCAGACUUCCAGUAUGCUUUACAAAUAUGAGUUGCACCAAAGGUGUACAGUCUCAGAUAAUUUCUCACCAGUCACCAGUCGCGCCCAUUUAAACGCAGAUAUGUUUCUUUUCUAUUGUCACCGCAUAUCAGCGCAGUGAGUCACUGUUUGACUUUGAGUUGGUGUAGUUAACCAUUGAGAUAUUCGGUGGAAUGCAGUUCUCUCAACAUACUUGGUACACUUUUUCUAUCCCAACCUGGAGAUCGAAAGACACAGGUUGACUUUAUUUACUCGAACAACCUGAUGAAAUGAUUUGACAAAUACAGAUUGGUUUCCUAUGUUGCCGUAUGUAGCCUCACAGCAAACAUAGCAUCAAUAUCUUAAGGCUAACAAGAAAAUGCUUAAACAACUUGGGUUAUGUUUGAAACGGCAUGCUAGCAUACUUUUAUAGCAGUAUAUAGUAUGUGUACUUCAACACUGUGUACACUGUAUCCCACAAUGCAUUUAGCUUGAUUUGUACUUCCAUGGUUACAGAUGAAUUAUAUUUCCUGUCUUCAGGCAACUUUAAUGUUUUCUAGCUGGCAAGACUAGUAAUCCAAACUGUAACAUGAGCACUAGGGAGGAAGUUAUCAAGAUCUUCUCAUUCUUUGGUCUUGCAGAGCAAGCUGUCGUAACUGGCACCCAUCCAAUAUACACCAUAUGAGUCUCUGUUUGUUGUAUGACACACCUGAUCUAGGUCAAGGGUCGGUUCUUGGCUUUCAGGACGGCUUUAUUAUCCACAGAGUCGGACCAGAGUGACCCUCACAGUCAAUACUAAUGUUUUAUUAAUGCACGCUUUUUAAAAAGCCAUCCGAAACGCAAACAGAAAGAUCCUUUAUUUUGGCAUCUGCGUCCGGCCUUUCAUGCCCAACAUGUGCAUAAAGUCACCGCGACCUGCUGAGCCCUUGCGGCACGCCUGGAUCUGCAUAAAGUUAAUGGAAAUUUUUUUCACUCCUUUGUCCUGGAAGCGAGACCUGCGGAAAGAAAUUGAAUAAUAUAAAAGCCUCAAAUUGGUUACCAGCCAUAAAUAGAUCAAACGGGUCGUUCAGCCACAAACUCGCUUGGUGUAAUUAAUCAGAAUUGCAUAAUAUGCAUACAUCAGAAGAGGUGAAAAGGUUGCGAUCUGCAUACAAACCAUCUUUGUUUUUGAAGCCAGGGGGCACACGGAUUGAAAAGACCCGUGUUUUUGUUAUUCAGGGAUCAAUUAGAGCUCACUUCUGUGAAAUAAUUAUGUAAAAGAAAAUGCCAAUGAGGUUUAAGCAGCCGUCCUGUCAUGCUGUGAUUUAUAUGUUAACCCGCACACUCUUGCUCAUUAGUAAACAUUGCCAGAAUAUUGAGAGGUGGCACAUAAUGCAAAGAAAAGGGCGUUCCUAAUAAAUAAGGUGCUGAUUGGGAUUGAUCCGUUAGAGGAGCACAUCACAGAUCAAUCGGCACAGUAGUUUACACAGCUGUCAUUAAUUCACCCUGUGACCCUCAUUACAGCUGCUGAAACCAUCAGGAAAGAGCUAGAGCCAAACCGCUACUUCACAAUUUAGCUGCACUGAAGAAAUAUUUAUUUAUUAAUAUUAUUUAAGUUUUAUUAAGGGUUAUCAAUAAAAUAAAAUAAAUAAAGUUGGUUAUAAAUAUUUAUUAUUCACAUUUAUUUAUUUAUUUUCUGCACAUUUUAUUAACAAAAACAAUUUGAUAGAAAACAAUGGGAGAAAAUCAUUUAUUUGGGUAAUACUUAAGCAAAUGUUUUUUUUAAAUUAAAGUACUAUUAAUCAUGAAAAUGAUUGUUUUCACCAUUUUUUAAAUGAAUGAAUUUGAAUUAAAUCAUUUAUUUAUCACUCGAACAAAUAAAUAAAUAAAUAGUAUUUUAUUUAUUUAUUUUGUAAAAAUAAAGACAAGUAGAUAAAACACUACCUCAUUUAUUUUUAACAAUUGUACUUAUUUUUCGGCAUUAUCUAAGUUUUAUUAAGGGAUUUUCCAUUGCUUAAAUUUAUUUAUUACUUAUUUACUUUAUUUAUUUAUUUGUUUAAUAAAUAUUACCCAAUUUUAUAAAAAAUAAUAUCUAACUAAUCAUUCCUGUUUUACCAUUUAUAAUAAACUGAACUGAAGAAGGCCUUGAGCCGAAAUGUUUGUUUUGACAUUGGUAAUGAUCAUGGUCUCGUGUGCUAAACGAAAUAAAAAAAAAAAAAAAAAAAAAAUAUAUAUUUGAGUGAUUAAUGAUUUAGCACCCAAAUAACACUACAUUAAAUUAAAUAUUUUAUUAUUAUUUAUUUUGUAAAAAUAACGCAACCAAGUAAUAGCUUUAAAAACAACUAAAAGGUGAGAUAAAUGCAAUAGAUACAUAAAACUUUAAAUACUAAGGGCCAGAUUUACUAAAGAGGGCAAAUUAGCAUUAGAGCGCAAAUCCAUAGAAGCGCCGAUGGGAGGGGAAAAUUCUGCGUGUGAUUUACUAACAAUGUGCACAAUAAAGAACACAGAUGCAGCCAGAUCAUCUACCAAGAGCAGCGCAAAUUACCACCUGCUUUAAGACAUGCUUUUUUAUGGGCGUUAAAUAAUAGCGCAAAUGCCAGUAAUUUGACGUGUGCAAACAUUAGUAAAUCGCGUUGCGUGAUUCAUUUUAAUACUCUCCUCCCAUAAAUUUUGCGUCUGAAAGGGAAACUCCUACAAAUGCAUAUUCAAUAAGGUCAGGCGCAAAAAUAACUGUCCUCACCUUUUCAGUGCAUAUUCGUCACUGCGCAUCUUUUAGUAAAUUCUGACAGUACUAUUUUAACGCCAAAAGACGGUUUGCGCUGGCGCAAGCUGUUAGUAAAUCUGGCCCUAAGACUUAAAGUCCUUAAAAGCCGGAAAAGGUGUGUUUUUUUUAUAUUAAAGUACGUAGUUAACUGCUUAAUAAAACAUAGUAGUAAAUUCCAGAGUUUAGAAGAAUAAAGUAGAUGUAAUAAAGACAAAAAAUAAGGUAUUCAGUUUAUGGCUGCGCUAGGUGAUGAAAACAAGACCGUAAAAUCUAUUAAACACAAGCUGAUUGAAUCCCAGGCAUGCGUUCGGGUCUUUAGACUCGCUUUAAUGGAAUUUCCAAGGGCUGCAAACUGGGUCAAAGGUCACCUGUCCUGCUGCUGCUUUGGGACGGGUGAGACCACUGACGCUGAUGGACAAGCACUUACGCAACACUCAGAAGUUCACUUUACCACACUUUAAGCAUUCGUGUGGUUUGUGUAGCAUCGCUUCUCAAGUCUUAAAUUAAAGUGUCUGCCACGUCCCAGAAAUAACACAAAGGUAUGAAAUACGGGACGCUUAUAUUUAAAUAUAUCCACUCUGAAGCUGCUGUACUUGUGAAACACUGAUCUCUCUCAGGUAGUAUUUUUAAUGCUGCUGGAGUGUUGAUCGUCUCAACAACGGAAAAACAGACACCGUGUCUGGAAAGGAUGUAGUAUCGGGAGAAACUUGAAUUUAGCAUUUGAAUUUGAAUUGCAUUUGAAUUUAGUAUCUUUUUCUGUCCAGAUCUGAGCUUUGACCCUCAUGCAUCACAUCCAGAACAGUAUUGAUUAGAGAAAGAUCAUUAUGUCCGCCGGUAGAGGGGUUCAAGUCUUUAAUUACAGCAGCGGACGCAUGGAAACACGUGUUGUGGUGUCAAGAGACAAUGCUGGGUGCGAACGGAUCAGCUGGAUGGCUUUAGCAAUCUUCCGGCGUUCUCUGGAAUGCAGCCGAGUCCCCCCCCACGAGGCCUGGGAAUGCCGGGGGAGGGGAGACAGACGCUUUUCCUCUUUCACAUUCACAUGGACCUCGGGCUGGAAACCAAGCCCUAGGUCAGUCGGGUGUGUAACCAUGGCAAACGGAUCCCGUCCCAGCUCACCGCGGUCCUUACGGCGAGACGCGACCCUGAAGAGAUGCAGAAAGCAUUGUGAACGCAUGUGUACAUAAACGCACUAGACUCAACUCUUUAAAACAGGUUAUUUUUAGCCUGAGGUUCCACACUUCAGCGUCUCGCUCACCCACACGUAUCCUGCUCGGUCAUAAAUUAAGUAAUAAUUAACUCUUGCCUCUGGUUACUCACUUUAGCGCAUGAAACUGGGCUCAUUGUGUUCUUAGUAGACUUGGAUGACCUUUUAAACAGGAAAUGAACCCAAAAUUGUAAAAGAACUAGUUAGGCUGUGUUGCCUUUUUAUAUAGAAUGUUUUUUGAUAUUAUUACGCAAGAAUAUUCAAAACACUUCUCUGAUUAGCACUGUAUUCUUGAUAUAAAAGUACUAGACAAGUAGCCAGGCUGGGCUAAUAAACAAGUUUGGGUGGUAUUUCACCUUCAAAUGCUAAGAAAUGAAGCCUGUUUUUAGACUGUUUGCAUUGUGAUAUUAUUUUCAAAGCACUUAAAGCAGAUUCUCAUAACUGUAAUGCAAAAAUGUCAAUACCAUUGUGGAAAAGAACAAGAAUGUCAUUUUAAAAAAUGGUUAAGUGUUAAGUAUGUACGCAUAUCCAGAUUUUGAUUUUAAAUUUAAAAAAUAAAAAUCCCACAGUAAUGUGGAAAUGUCCUCGGUUGUCAUGAAAAUAAUGUCAAAAUGUCAAAAAAGAAGAAACAAAUAAGAAAUUAGAUUUUGCAUAAAGAAAAUUGUUUGCAUUGUGACAUUAUUUUCAGAGUGAUUAAAACACAUUUUCCCCCUAAAUUCUCAUUACCGUAAUGCAAAAACAUCAUUGCCAUAAUGAAAAAAAAAAAAGAAUAUAUUAUUUCAGUUGUAAUUACAUUGUGGAUUUAAAUACAAAAAUAUGGUGAUGAAGAAAAAUGUUCUCCAUGAAAAAUUCACAACACAAAAACAUAAGAAACUAUAUUUUCCAUGAAGAAUGUUUUUAGAUUGUUUGCAUUUUUAAAGGCAAUUAAAGUAGAUUUUCCUCCUAAAUUCUCAUUACUGUAGUGCAAAAAAGUGGUUAUCACAAUAGAAAAAAACUAGAUUAUUCAAACUGUAUUUGUGUGUAUGCAGAUUUAAAGCCUGGACAAAUUACGGUAAUGAUGAAAAAUUUUCUUAAUUGUCAUGAAAAUGUCACAAUGCAAAAUAGGCUUCAUUUUCUUUGGACAAAAUUUGUCACUCAAUUGUAGGAUAACGUGUAGUUUACAAUGUGAAUGGCAUUCGCUUAGUUGAUAAGGUGGUUAAACUACUAAAGCUGUGGAUUCCUUCUCAAUGGUUUUGUGCCAAACCUUCAAUAAACUGUUUUCAGUGUCCGAAAACCUGACAAACUUCUUAAAUGUUGUUGCCGUACUUGUAGCCUUGAUUAUGUUCUAAUGUUGUAUGUACAUUUGUGAAGUAUAUUGUAUUUUUAAGUAGAUUUUGCACAUUGUGUCCUUCUCACUGUUGAACGGUCAUCUACACUCAUAAGGGUGUUUUCUUAAACGUCAUUAGAAUGUGUUGCCUAAAGCCAAAGAAAGCAGCACAGAUAGAGACAUGUUACCAGCUAAAUGCUGCAUUAUUGUGAAAUGUUUGUUUCUGUGUCGUGAAAUGUCUUAAUUUGUGUACAAAUUUUUGAUAUCACUGAUUCUUGUUCUGUUUUUUGGACAUUUAAUACCAAAUAUUAUUGUUUCUAACUUCUGUCAGUCAUACAGUAGGGUGUAUUAAAGACUUUUUUAAUAAAAUCUCGGUGAAAAUGCUAA